GUUCUUUUAGUAUCACUUAGUACAACUGACUUCCAAUCAGUUAGCCUUGGGUUAACCAAGAAAGAAUA
rnacentral:tRNA from 1 species